UCACCGGACCUCUGGGGAUGUGACAGUGGCUCGGGACAUGAGCCCGCUUGUUCGCUCACUCUCAGUGAAAAGAGUUUUGAAAUGAGUUCUGAAUAGACAGCAUUUUCUUUGUGCGGUUGGUAAAUAACACAGAGCAAAGUUAGCAAGUUGCAGCGCUUCUGCUUUCUGAUUCUAUGGAAACUUUUUGUAGGGAGAAGGGCAGGAUGUUUUUAACAGAAUGUGACCUCACGGGAACACUAGAGAAAGUAAUAAAAUAUCUGAAUCGGGCAGCGUGGAGAAAUCCUAAGAGAAAUAGCAUAAGAGCAUUUUGGAACAUAUCCAGGAAAAGAUAAUCUUUGACACACCUGUAGGCAUUCACCAGGUAAAGCCAAGAGAUGAAACAACCUGAGUGUCUGUCAAUAGAUGAACAGAUAAAAACAACAACAACAACAAUAACAACAACAAAAAACCUGUGGCAUAAAUACAACGGAACAUCAUUUGGCCUUAGAAGAAAGGACAUCCUGCACUUGCCACAACAUGGUUGAGCCUGCAGGACAUUAAUAAGCUAAGUAGUCAAAAACAGAAAAAAAUGUUGCAUGAUCUCAUUUAUGUGUGGAAUCUGAAAAAGGAAAAAAAUGCACAGAGAUGGAGAAUAAAACAGUGGUUACCAGGCUUGGAUGUGAGGUGUGUUUAUGUGAUGGGGUAAGGGCUGGGGGAGUGGGAAGGAAGGUGUAGUUGGAAAAUAUAAAAUAGCAGAUAUGUAGGAUGAAGAAGUCUAAAGUUCUUCAUGUAAGACAUGAACACUAUAGUUAAUAAAAUUGUAUUGUAAUAGGGACUUUUGUUAAGUAAGUAGAGUUUAGCUGUUCUUUUCACAAACAGUAUCUGUAAGAUGAUGAAUAUGUUGAUUUGCUACCCUACGUAACCAUUUUACUAUCUAUAUGUAUCUAACAAUAUCAUGUCACACAAUAAAAUUUAUUCUAAAAAAGA